GUCCAUAGCUCAGUGGCAGAGCGCCAGUCUAGUAAACUGGAGGUCGUGGGUUCGAUCCCCACUGGGGCCU
rnacentral:tRNA from 1 species